rnacentral:rRNA from 1 species
UUAAAUUGAAGAGUUUGAUCAUGGCUCAGAUUGAACGCUGGCGGCAGGCCUAACACAUGCAAGUCGAACGGUAACAGGAAGCAGCUUGCUGCUUUGCUGACGAGUGGCGGACGGGUGAGUAAUGUCUGGGAAACUGCCUGAUGGAGGGGGAUAACUACUGGAAACGGUGGCUAAUACCGCAUAACGUCGCAAGACCAAAGAGGGGGACCUUCGGGCCUCUUGCCAUCAGAUGUGCCCAGAUGGGAUUAGCUUGUUGGUGAGGUAACGGCUCACCAAGGCGACGAUCCCUAGCUGGUCUGAGAGGAUGACCAGCCACACUGGAACUGAGACACGGUCCAGACUCCUACGGGAGGCAGCAGUGGGGAAUAUUGCACAAUGGGCGCAAGCCUGAUGCAGCCAUGCCGCGUGUAUGAAGAAGGCCUUCGGGUUGUAAAGUACUUUCAGCGGGGAGGAAGGUGUUGUGGUUAAUAACCACAGCAAUUGACGUUACCCGCAGAAGAAGCACCGGCUAACUCCGUGCCAGCAGCCGCGGUAAUACGGAGGGUGCAAGCGUUAAUCGGAAUUACUGGGCGUAAAGCGCACGCAGGCGGUCUGUCAAGUCGGAUGUGAAAUCCCCGGGCUCAACCUGGGAACUGCAUUCGAAACUGGCAGGCUUGAGUCUUGUAGAGGGGGGUAGAAUUCCAGGUGUAGCGGUGAAAUGCGUAGAGAUCUGGAGGAAUACCGGUGGCGAAGGCGGCCCCCUGGACAAAGACUGACGCUCAGGUGCGAAAGCGUGGGGAGCAAACAGGAUUAGAUACCCUGGUAGUCCACGCCGUAAACGAUGUCUACUUGGAGGUUGUGCCCUUGAGGCGUGGCUUCCGGAGCUAACGCGUUAAGUAGACCGCCUGGGGAGUACGGCCGCAAGGUUAAAACUCAAAUGAAUUGACGGGGGCCCGCACAAGCGGUGGAGCAUGUGGUUUAAUUCGAUGCAACGCGAAGAACCUUACCUGGUCUUGACAUCCACGGAAGUUUUCAGAGAUGGAAUGGUGCCUUCGGGAACCGUGAGACAGGUGCUGCAUGGCUGUCGUCAGCUCGUGUUGUGAAAUGUUGGGUUAAGUCCCGCAACGAGCGCAACCCUUAUCCUUUGUUGCCAGCGGUCCGGCCGGGAACUCAAAGGAGACUGCCAGUGAUAAACUGGAGGAAGGUGGGGAUGACGUCAAGUCAUCAUGGCCCUUACGACCAGGGCUACACACGUGCUACAAUGGCGCAUACAAAGAGAAGCGACCUCGCGAGAGCAAGCGGACCUCAUAAAGUGCGUCGUAGUCCGGAUUGGAGUCUGCAACUCGACUCCAUGAAGUCGGAAUCGCUAGUAAUCGUGGAUCAGAAUGCCACGGUGAAUACGUUCCCGGGCCUUGUACACACCGCCCGUCACACCAUGGGAGUGGGUUGCAAAAGAAGUAGGUAGCUUAACCUUCGGGAGGGCGCUUACCACUUUGUGAUUCAUGACUGGGGUGAAGUCGUAACAAGGUAACCGUAGGGGAACCUGCGGUUGGAUCACCUCCUUACCU